GUGUGAAAAAGUCCAGCAUGAACUCAGACAGGAUACAGACCAGAACCAGAGCCUCAUGUAGACAGAGCUGCUGCAGAAGGAGCAAUAAGCAUGCCUGCACCCUUGAGAGACCUGAGGAGGAUGAAGGAAAACACGGACAACUUGAAUCCAUGACUGUGUUCAGUCUAGGAUCAAGGCCUCCUCACAAAAGCCAUCUCCUUGUAGAUGAGAACUCAACAGACUGUCUGGAAUCAGUUGUGGCAUCACAAUCCUGUAACACCAGAACUCCCAGGCAGAGAUGGAUGUCUGCAAGUGCCAAGUGGCUUGGUCUACACAGGUUGACAGAGAGAACAAACUUCCCACAAGUUUGUCCUCUGUUCUUCAUGUGGAUGGGGCCGCCGGGUCUUUGUCACAGAAACGGAGCAUCGGGAAUUACAUAG
rnacentral:lncRNA from 1 species